CUCAGCACACAGGCACUGAGAGAGUGCGAUGGGGGGGAUGAGACUGUGGCCUUUGAUUGAAGGAAGGGCUGCCUGGUGGGAGCUGGACUCGCUGCCCUGCACUCUCUGCUUCCACAGCUAGCCGCUCUUCAUCGAUAGUUUUUUAUUUUGUUUUAUUUUAUUUUAAAAGCGAACGGUAGCCCAGUCUGGGCCUCAGCUCUAACCUCCACAGCUAGCCUAUGGGAGAGUCUCAGGCUCUUACUUCCUCCUGCCUCUUCUGAGGAAAACCAGAAAAGGGUUCCGUCAUUUGUGGGGCUCAUUUCUCUGACACGGACGCAUAGGCAUGAACAUCUUAUAGUGACAGCUGGAUGUAUUUCCCCAAAUGAACACCCUGGGACGGACGGCCCGCCCUCCCAGGGUCUCCCCGAGCCCUGCUCCUCACAGCCUGGCUCACUCUGCCUGCUUUCCACUUUACGUAACAGGGAGCAGACGGCCCUCCAGUGCGUCUGCAAGCCCUGCGGUAUUUUACAACCCCGAACAUGAUAACAUGUUUUCUACUUCCUGGUAGGAGCCAACUCCCUGGGGCCUGCCUGCUGUAAUCCCCAGAAAAUGUUUGUCCUGCUAAAUAAACAGCCACGCUCUCCAUGGCGACGGUUGGGUAAGCAAGGAAAAUGUGGCAGGGCUGUCCAAAUAUGGAGGGGAAGGAGGCCUGCGGGUGAGGCGGGUCCUAGCCUCACCAGCACUCACCUACAUGCCUCUCCGCCCUGAAGGGCAAAAUAAUGUAAAGAUGGUGGCCAGGCCUCCGCAUUCAGGGUCAGAGCUGUCCUGCAUGCAAGUUUAUUCGAGGAGGCCCAGCAUUCUUCUCUAAUGAGCCUGCGCUGUUCUUAUUUUAUGCAGCGUCCAAGCAAGUGGUCCUGAUUUUCGACACUGCCCACUCUGCCAGGGGCACCAGCCUCCGACCACCAAGCCAAGCGGCCACUGCCUGUCCCUGGCUGCACUGCUCACCUGCUGCUUCUCAUUUGCUGUUGACCUGGAAAUGCCGUGAGCACCCCAGACUGCACAUCAUAGGCAGAAAGACUUGAGAUGCAGACCAGCUCUCCGGAGGGCAGUGCUGGCCCCAGGGAAAGGCAGCAGGGGCCCCGGGCUAUGUACAUGCUAGUUGCCUCCUGGAUGAGCAGAUGGGCAGUGUCCCAAGAGCACAGGACACAGGGCUAUCUAUAAAACUGCUUAUCCAAAAGUGUAUUUACAGGGGCCAG